rnacentral:miRNA from 1 species
UAUUAGGUUGGUGCAAAAGUUAUUGCGGAUUUUGUCAUUCGUUUUAAUGGCAAAACCCGCAAUGACUUUUUUUAAUUAAUUAAU